rnacentral:tRNA from 1 species
GGGGAUUUAGUUCAGUGGUUGAGCGCUUGCCUAGCAAGCAUAAGGCCCUGGGUUCGGUCCCCAGCUCCG